rnacentral:rRNA from 1 species
GAUGAACGCUGGCGGCGUGCUUAACACAUGCAAGUCGAACGGGAAUUACUUUAUUGCAACUUCGGUCGAUUUCAUUUAAUUCUAGUGGCGGACGGGUGAGUAACGCGUGGGUAACCUGCCUUAUACAGGGGGAUAACAGUCAGAAAUGGCUGCUAAUACCGCAUAAGCGCACAGAGCUGCAUGGCUCGGUGUGAAAAACUCCGGUGGUAUAAGAUGGACCCGCGUUGGAUUAGCUUGUUGGUGGGGUAACGGCCCACCAAGGCGACGAUCCAUAGCCGGCCUGAGAGGGUGAACGGCCACAUUGGGACUGAGACACGGCCCAGACUCCUACGGGAGGCAGCAGUGGGGAAUAUUGCACAAUGGGGGAAACCCUGAUGCAGCGACGCCGCGUGAAGGAAGAAGUAUCUCGGUAUGUAAACUUCUAUCAGCAGGGAAGGUAGUGACGGUACCUGACUAAGAAGCCCCGGCUAACUACGUG